rnacentral:rRNA from 1 species
AGGGCACCACCAGGAGUGGAGCCUGCGGCUUAAUUUGACUCAACACGGGAAAUCUCACCAGGCCCGGACACCGGAAGGAUUGACAGAUUGAGAGCUCUUUCUUGAUUCGGUGGGUGGUGGUGCAUGGCCGUUCUUAGCUGGUGGAGCGAUUUGUCUGGUUAAUUCCGAUAACGAACGAGACUCUGGCCUACUAACUAGACAUAAGAUCCUUUAUGGGUCUAGUGUAGCUUCUUAGAGGGACGGGCGGCGUUUAGCCGCACGAGAAUGAGCAAUAACAGGUCUGUGAUGCCCUUAGAUGUUCUGGGCUGCACGCGCGCUACACUGAAGAAAUCAGCGUGUCUUCCCUACCCGAAAGGGUUGGGAAACCCGUUGAACCUUCUUCGUGAUGGGGAUUGGGGAUUGCAAUUAUUCCCCAUGAACGAGGAAUUCCCAGUAGGCGCGAGUCAUAAGCUUGCGUCGAUUACGUCCCUGCCCUUUGUACACACCGCCCGUCGCUACUACCGAUCGAGUGAUUUAUUG